rnacentral:rRNA from 1 species
CCUACGGGAGGCAGCAGUGGGGAAUAUUGCGCAAUGGGCGAAAGCCUGACGCAGCGACGCCGCGUGAGGGAUGCAGGUGUUCGGAUUGUAAACCUCUGUCAGCAGGGAAGAACGGUCACUGUGCUAAUCAGCAGUGAAUUGACGGUACCUGCAAAGGAAGCACCGGCUAACUCCGUGCCAGUAGCCGAGGUAAUACGGAGGGUGCGAGCGAUAAUCGGAAUUCCUGGGCGUAAAGCGCUCGUAGGCGGUAUGUCAAGUCAAGGGUGAAAUCCCCGCGCUCAACGUGGGUACUGCCUUUGAAACUGGCAAACUGGAGUGUGUGAGAGGAUGGUGGAAUGCCAGGUGUAGGAGUGAA